GAUGAACGCUGGCGGCGUGCCUAAUACAUGCAAGUCGAGCGAACGGACGAGAAUCUUGCUUCUCUUAUGUUAGCGGCGGACGGGUGAGUAACACGUGUAUAACCUACCUAUAAGACUGGGAUAACUUCGGGAAACCUGAUCUAAUACCGGAUGAUAUUGUGAACCGCAUGGUUCAAAAGUGAAAGACGUUCUUGCUGUCACUUAUACAUGUAUCCGCGCUGCAUUAGCUAGUUGGUAAGGUAACGGCUUACCAAGGCAACGAUGCAUAGCCGACCUGAGAGGAUGAUCAGCCACACUGGAACUGAGACACGGUCCAGACUCCUACGGGAGGCAGCAGUAGGGAAUCUUCCGCAAUGGGCGAAAGCCUGACCGAGCCACGCCGCGUGAGUGAUGAAGGUCUUCGGAUCGUAAAGCACUGUUAGUAGGGAAGAACAUAUGUGUAAGUAACUGUGCACAUCUUGACGGUACCUAAAGAGAAAGCCACGGCUAACUACGUG
rnacentral:rRNA from 1 species